UACGGGGGGGGCUAGCGUUGCUCGGAAUCACUGGGCGUAAAGGGUGCGUAGGCGGGUCUUUAAGUCAGGGGUGAAAUCCUGGAGCUCAACUCCAGAACUGCCUUUGAUACUGAAGAUCUUGAGUUCGGGAGAGGUGAGUGGAACUGCGAGUGUAGAGGUGAAAUUCGUAGAUAUUCGGAGGAACACCAGUGGCGAAGGCGGCUCACUGGCUCGACACUGACGCUGAGGUGCGAAAGCGUGGGGAGCAAACAGG
rnacentral:rRNA from 1 species